CCCAAACACUGCCCCCAUACACACACUGCCCCACAAACACUGUCCCCAUACACACACUGUCCCCAUACACACACUGCCCCACAAACACUGUCCCCAUACACACACACUGCCCCCAUACACACACUGCCCCACAAACAUUGUCCCCAUACACACACUGCCCCACAAACACUGUCCCCAUACACACACUGUCCCCAUACACACAC